AGUGAACGCUGGCGGUAGGCCUAACACAUGCAAGUCGAACGGCAGCACAGUAAGAGCUUGCUCUUACGGGUGGCGAGUGGCGGACGGGUGAGGAAUACAUCGGAAUCUACUUUUUCGUGGGGGAUAACGUAGGGAAACUUACGCUAAUACCGCAUACGACCUACGGGUGAAAGCAGGGGAUCUUCGGACCUUGCGCGAUUGAAUGAGCCGAUGUCGGAUUAGCUAGUUGGCGGGGUAAAGGCCCACCAAGGCGACGAUCCGUAGCUGGUCUGAGAGGAUGAUCAGCCACACGGGAACUGAGACACGGUCCAGCCUCCUACGGGAGGCAGGAGGGGGGAAUAUUGGAAAAUGGGCGCAAGCCUGAUCCAGCCAUGCCGCGGGGGGGAAGAAGGCCUUCGGGUUGUAAAGCCCUUUUGUGGGGAAAAAAAAGCAGCAGGUUAAUACCCCGCUGUUCUGAGGGUACCCAAAGAAUAAGCACCGGCUAACUUCGU
rnacentral:rRNA from 1 species